rnacentral:rRNA from 1 species
AUUGAACGCUGGCGGCAUGCUUUACACAUGCAAGUCGAACGGUAACAGGCCGCAAGGUGCUGACGAGUGGCGAACGGGUGAGUAAUGCAGCGGAACGUGCCCAGUCGUGGGGGAUAACUACUCGAAAGAGUAGCUAAUACUGCAUACGAUCUAUGGAUGACAGCGGGGGACCGUAAGGCCUCGCGCGAUUGGAGCGGCCGAUGUCAGAUUAGGUAGUUGGUGGGGUAAAGGCUCGCCAAGCCAACGAUCUGUAGCUGGUCUGAGAGGACGACCAGCCACACUGGGACUGAGACACGGCCCAGACUCCUACGGGAGGCAGCAGUGGGGAAUUUUGGACAAUGGGCGCAAGCCUGAUCCAGCAAUGCCGCGUGCAGGAAGAAGGCCUUCGGGUUGUAAACUGCUUUUGUACGGAACGAAACGGCUCUGGUUAAUACCCGGGGCUAAUGACGGUACCGUAAGAAUAAGCACCGGCUAACUACGUG